AAAGAUAUGAUUUUCUCAUGCUAUACCGUAUGCGUUGCCGGCUCGUUAUGCCGUACUUACCGUACGAGUAUCAUUUUCCAAACUGAAUUUAUGUUUAGCUAUAGCAAAUUAGGGACAAACUUGCGCUUAAUGCAGGCUGCAGCCAAAAGCAAGGCAUUCUAAGAUGCAUACCAAAUUAAAGUGUGUUUAUAUGUUUUAACCAGAAAUAUUCGGCCGCGGCUGUAUGGAAUCAAGAUUCGAGUUGUCUUACAGUCCGACUUUCACCAGUACGGGUAUAUAUACAAUCUCUGUCCGUGCUGAUAAAAUGCGAAUUAUUGUCGUUGUUUAAUUAAAUAUGUAUCUGUGGUUUUCUGUUUGAUUGCGCACGCUAAGAGGCGCUUUCCUGUCGUGAAACGAGUGCCUAAUCGAGUUGCUUUUCUCUGUGGAGCAAAAGUGCAAACAACUGGUUAUUGUUUACAAGAUUUGCUUUACUAUGGAUUACCAUAUUUGGUACGGGUACUGCACAUUAUCACAAAUUCACAAUAAACACUUGAAUUAACCAACCACUGGGAAAAACUUUUUUUCCCCGUAAGGAAAAUAAAAGCUGAUGUCCGGAAGUGAAAUGGAGUGCUGACAAGGUGCAGACGAAAUGACGGAGAACAGCAUCAAACAUAACAGGAGCCUUUUAAUACCAUCGUCCACGCAAGUCUACCUUGGCUGUAUGCUAUUUAUUUUGUUUUCGUUUGGUCUUGGGAUGUAUUUUUGCUCCCAGGAAUGCAAAAAAUAUGCCAUAGCGUGCACAAAAUCUUUAAGAUUCUAACUUGGCUGACCGGUACCCCGACACGAUGCAACAAUGGCUAUUGCGGCACCGAAUUAAUAGCAUCAUUAUGAAAAAACAAAAUUUCCUCAUUUUCCAAAUGGCCAAAGACUUGCUCUCAUCAUAGUUAAUCUGCUGGACAUUAAAAUUCUUAUUGUUGCGGGACGUCAAAGAAGAGCGGCUCUGACCUUUCAGCGAGGUCCUGCCCAACGAACCACCCUUUGCAGGUUUUACAACAAUGAACUUUAUCGGGUGCAAGGUUUAAGUGUUGGGCCAGAGCCGGACGUUGUUGAUUACUGUAUCGAUGAAGACGACAAAGACUGGCUAGAUCAAAAUGCCGCCUUGAAUAUCACCACCGAGCGGUUUGAAAUGGCCAUCGACUUGCUAGAAAAAUCCGUCGGAAUACGAGAACCCAGUGAAACAGAUGCCGGGAAAAUUAUUAAAGAGCGCGCGAGGAGAUUGUGACAGCGCUGUCCACAUAUUUGAUUAACGCGUCGAAGAAACUGAAACAUCCGCUCUUGUUAAAAGUGAAGAGGGUUAAUAAACGGGAGGCGGCUUCUGGGCACGAUCCGUAUGUAGCAUUUCGGCGACGGGCUGAAAAAAUACAGACACGAAAAAAUCGAAAAAGCGAUGAGCUGAAUUACAUUAUUAUGUACAACCUGAAGGUCGCCCACACCCCGCACAGGAAUGACGGUUUAACGGAAAUUUUAAAACGCAUGAAAGAACGUGAAAUUCUAAAAAUUCGUAUCACAGAAAUGGAAGGGCAUGAGUUUCACAUUAACCACUGUUAUUUCGACGACGUCUGAAAAAGUGCAGACACGAAAAAUUUUGUUACUUGUACGCCGGCUGGGCCACGCAGAGAGAAAGUAACGCCAACAGAUGUCACGGCUUCUCUUCCGCCUGCAACUUCUAAAUUUUAUCGGCAACAAAUCCGAAGAUUCCCUGCAGUAAUUUGCUCUACGCUUGGUUUUCAUCAACUGAAUCAACAAGGAAUCCCACGAUUAUGGCAACCGGAGGAUGAAGAAAUGUUCAAACUGACUGCCCGUUCGCGCCCGAAACGGUUUACUGGUCUUGCGACAAAGCCCACACGAAUUCCGCAACAAGUUGGCACAACAACCCGCUUUAACUUUUGAAACAACCUAUGCCAUUUAGUGUGCAGUGAAAUACAAAGUACGCGUACACAGACCAGAACUUGUAAACUUAACUAUUCGUUCAUAGCUUCGGCACAUUUUUAUUUUUUCUUUACCCUCUGGUGCAUGCCUCUGGGAAACUGGCGUCGAUAUACAUAAAUUGUAAUAUGGAGUUUGUAAUUGCAGCGCAUCAAUUGAGAGAACAAUGUACUGCGCUCUUGUUCAUAAAAACGCGAAAAUAAAUUGAUC